CCUACGGGAGGCAGCAGUGAGGAAUAUUGGUCAAUGGACGAGAGUCUGAACCAGCCAAGUAGCGUGGAGGAUGACUGCCCUAGGGGUUGUAAGCUUCUUUUGUAUGGGAAUGAAAGGUGGCACGUGUGUGAUUUUGUAUGUACCAUAUGAAUAAGGAUCGGCUAGCUCCGUGCCAGCAGCGGCGGUAAUACGGAGGAUCCGAGCGUUAUCCGGAUUUAUUGGGUUUAAAGGGAGCGUAGGUGGAUUGUUAAGUCAGUUGUGAAAGUUUGCGGCUCAACCGUAAAAUUGCAGUUGAAACUGGCAGUCUUGAGUACAGUAGAGGUAGGCGGAAUUCGUGGUGUAGCGGUGAAAUGCUUAGAGAUCACGAAGAACUCCGAUUGCGAAGGCAGUUCACUGGACUGUAACUGACACUGAGGCUCGAAAGUGUGGGUAUCAAACAGGAUUAGAUACCCGGGUAGUC
rnacentral:rRNA from 1 species